AGUUUGAUCAUGGCUCAGGACAGCUGGCGUGUGCUUCACACAUGCAAGUCGAACGAGGUAGCAAUACCUAGUGGCGGACGGGUGAGUAACGCGUGGGAAUCUGCCUUUAGAUGGGGGAUAACGGGUCGAAAGACUCGCUAAUACCGCAUAUGACGAAAGUUGAAAGGAGUAAUCCGUCUAAAGAUGAGCCCGCGUCCGAUUAGCUAGUUGGUAGAGUAAAAGCCUACCAAGGCGACGAUCGGUAGCUGGUCUGAGAGGAUGAUCAGCCACAAUGGGACUGAGACACGGCCCAUACUCCUACGGGAGGCAGCAGUGGGGAAUUUUACGCAAUGGGCGAAAGCCUGACGUAGCGACACCGCGUGAGCGAAGAAGCCCCUUUGGGGUGUAAAGCUCUGUCAGCUGGAACGAAAAAAUGACGGUACCAGCAGAGGAAGCAUCGGCUAACUACGUG
rnacentral:rRNA from 1 species